rnacentral:tRNA from 1 species
GUUGUUGCUCAGUGGUAGAGCACUUGCCUAGCAUGUGUGAGGCACUGAGUUCAAUCCUCAGUACCACA